UACGUAGGGCGCAAGCGUUGUCCGGAAUUAUUGGGCGUAAAGAGCUCGUAGGCGGUUUGUCGCGUCUGCUGUGAAAACCUAAGGCUCAACCUUGGGCUUGCAGUCGAUACGGGCAAACUAGAGUAUUGCAGGGGAGACUGGAAUUCCUGGUGUAGCGGUGAAAUGCGCAGAUAUCAGGAAGAACACCCGUGGCGAAGGCGGCUCUCUGGGACGGUACUGACGCUGAGACGCGAAAGCGUGGGGAGCGAACAGG
rnacentral:rRNA from 1 species